GGCUCGUUGGUCUAGGGGUGAAUAAUGGUCUAGGGUGCGAGAGGUCCGGUUCAAAUCCCGGACGAGCCC
rnacentral:tRNA from 1 species